GUUUGCCUGUCUGCAAAGAAGACUGCCGUGAGCUGUACUGUGCUGGGGGCAGUUCAGCAUUCCGUUGCCUAGCACUAUCCUCAAUCACUGCCAGGUUUAUUUGGCUAGCUCCAAAAUGUGAAGCUGUACAUGAAGGAGCCUAUGCAAUGGAGCCACAGACUGCAGUAAAAUAAACUGAUUCUCAGGGAAAAGGAGAGGAGAGUGAGACAAACUCCUCAGGUUUGCAGGUGGCACUACAGUUUUGGACCUCAUCACUAACAAUGACAAGACCACCUACGGAGAAGCGAUUGCCUGCUUGUUGCUAUGGUGCUAAUAACAAGUUGGAGGCAACGCAUUCAAGCAGUUGAAGAUGGCUGCUGAAGUAAUCCACAUGCUCAUUUUACUCUGGAAAUCAGCACAGAUGUUAACAUGGUUGAGAACAUGAGUCAUUCAGUUUGCUAAAGACUAUAAAACACUUACAGUCUCAAAUGGAAAAAGAGCAUUACAACUAUCAUCACAAUAUGGAAAGGUCAACAUCUCACAAUCCACUCCAUGUUAUAUGUUAUAUCCUGUUAUAGCUAUGCAUG